rnacentral:rRNA from 1 species
AUACGUAGGGGGCGAGCGUUGUCCGGAAUGAUUGGGCGUAAAGGGCGCGUAGGCGGCCCGGUAAGUCUGGAGUGAAAGUCCUGUUUUUAAGAUGGGAAUUGCUUUGGAUACUGUCGUGCUUGAGUGCAGGAGAGGUAAGUGGAAUUCCCAGUGUAGCGGUGAAAUGCGUAGAGAUUGGGAGGAACACCAGUGGCGAAGGCGACUUACUGGACUGUAACUGACGCUGAGGCGCGAAAGUGUGGGGAGCAAACAGGAUUAGAUACCCUGGUAGUCCACACUGUAAACGAUGAAUGCUAGGUGUAGGGGGUAUCGACCCCUUCUGUGCCGCAGUCAACACAAUAAGCAUUCCGCCUGGGGAGUACGGCCGCAAGGUUGAAACUCAAAUGAAUUGGCGGGG